UGCGGCUGACUCACAGACGUCCAGGGCCUGAGCUCCAAGCAGCAAUGACUGUAGACGCUCAUGGAUUCAGGUUUUCAACUUCUGCCGGUAAAAUACAGCAUGCUAAUUCUUCCUAAUGUGGACCAUCCCGAGACUGAUAACAUCAUGCUUAAUGGAAAAAAAAAAGGCUGAAUGUCUUCCCCCUAAACUGAGGAACAAGACUGGGGUGUCCUCUUCUGCCAUUUCUAUUUGACAUUGUACUGAAGGUUCUAAACAGCGGAGUAAGGCAAGAAAAAUGAAUAAAAUACAUUGUGAUUAGAAAGGGAAGAGUACAAUUUCUUUAUUCAUGAAUGUUGAAU